GCAUAUCAAUAAGCGGAGGAAAAGAAACCAACAGGGAUUGCCUCAGUAACGGCGAGUGAAGCGGCAAAAGCUCAAAUUUGAAAUCUGGCUCUACGAGUCCGAGUUGUAAUUUGUAGAGGAUGUUUCGGGUACCGCUACGGCUUAAAUUUCUUGGAACAGAAUGUCAGAGAGGGUGAGAGUCCCGUCUGGAGCCACGGUAGGGCCUAUGUGAAACUCCUUCGACGAGUCGAGUUGUUUGGGAAUGCAGCUCUAAAUGGGUGGUAAAUUUCAUCUAAAGCUAAAUAUUGGCCAGAGACCGAUAGCGCACAAGUAGAGUGAUCGAAAGAUGAAAAGCACUUUGAAAAGAGAGUUAAACAGUAUGUGAAAUUGUUGAAAGGGAAGCGCUGGCAAUCAGACUUGCGUGUCGGGGUUCCCCCUGGCUUCUGCCUGGGUUACUCCCCGAUAUCCAGGCCAACAUCGGUUUCGGUGGUCACUUAAAGGCCUUGGGAAUGUAUCUUCCUCCGGGAAGACUUAUAGCCCAGGGUGUCAUGCGGCCUACCGGGACCGAGGAACGCGCUUCGGCUCGGAUGUUGGCGUAAUGGUUGUCAGCGACCCGUCUUGAAACACGGACCAAGGAGUCUAACAUCUAUGCGAGUGUUAGGGUGUCAAACCCUUACGCGGAAUGAAAGUGAACGGAGGUAAGAAGCUUCGGCUGCAUUAUCGACCGAUCCUGAAGUUUACGGAUGGAUUUGAGUAAGAGCAUAGCUGUUGGGACCCGAAAGAUGGUGAACUAUGCCUAAACAAGCUGAAGCCAGAGGAAACUCUGGUGGAGGGCUGCAGCGGUUCUGACGUGCAAAUCGAUCGUCAAAUUUGGGUAUAGGGGCGAAAGACUAAUCGA
rnacentral:rRNA from 1 species